GGAGUCAAAAUCUGUCUAAUGAUAGAAUAGGCCAUUUUGGCCACUCAAUAUGUUAGGAGGCUCCAUGGGAUUAUGGUUUCUUGAUGCAUUAUAAGCUUCUUUUGAUUAGUGGGAAAAAUGAAUUUCAAUACCACCUUCCUAUCCUCCCCACCAACCAUACAACAUCUUUACAAACUGAAUAAAAAUGGUAAUUUGUCAGGUUUACAUCUAUUCAAAGUGCACAACACCUUCCUACUUUGUUUUCAAUUUAUAUUUUUCAUUUUUCUUUCUUUCUAACCGGUACAAUAGUGUUUGGUCCUCCUUCGAAAAGUGUCAUUAAGGGCAUGAAAAUAUCUAUAAUAAUUCUAGAAAUAGUUUAUCAAUACAAAUAAAAUCAUCAGUAAAUGCACCUCCCAUAUGAGGCUGUAUAAUAAAUCCAUUCAAUUUGAACACAAAUCUCUCCCUCCACCCGAAUCACUCAAUAUGUAUAUACGUGCAUACUCACACACACACACACACACACACACACACACACACACAGAGAGGAUUAACUAAGCAACAAUGACUUGCACAUUAAUUAAUUGGUAAAUAAGUUCAUGGUAGAUCUCACGAAUUAAAUGAUCCAUCAAUUAGUUGAUGUAUCAUAUCACUGUUGCUAAGCAGCAACGAUGUGAUAUGACUGACUAUACAAUAUUUUUGUAGUAAAAAAUAAAUAUCAACUAUCUACAAGAUAGUUGAAUCAAGAGCUAAAUUUCAAUUAUUUUCGAAGACUCUCAUUUCUGAUUGUUAGGCAAAUAUUCAGCUACAAGGGGAAAUGUAAAUGGUUCAUUCUACCGAACAACAAAACUUGAAAACAGUGAAAUACUCAUUUUCACUAUUAUAAAUACUUUGCAAUAAAAAGUCAAUAUAAUUAAUUUGGAUUUAUGAUAUGAUCAAAAUAAAGAGUACAUGAUGAUCUAAGAUGAUACUGCAAAAAGUAGUCGUGGAGUCACUAAUUUCUUCAUACAAUAUUUCUAAUUUUGGAAAUGGAAUUGCCUUCCCAACCCAAUACCUCCCUUUUUCUCCAAUUCCUGUAUGUCACUAAACGUAUCCUAAAAAUCCUACAUAACUUUUUUUCUUCCUAAACAUUCCCAAGUUGAAUAAUUAUAGCCCCCACAAUAAUCUCUCCCUCUCAAUGAUGUAAGCAUUUUUUUUGGGGAAAAGAUUAUCACAACUCAACUAAUAGAUUGGCCUAGAUUAUGUAUUCAUGUUUCAUGGCAACACAUGUAUACAUGUAUCCAUUGAAUACCAUGGACAAAAGACAGACUUGAUAUGUACAUGUUGUUAUGUUGUGAAAUUUAUUUAUUAUCUAUCCUAACUAUUGCCACUUCCCAGAGCUAGUUGGUAAUCGACCUCCCAAUGAGUUCGCUGUGCGGGUUGAAGGGUGGCAAGAGGUCCCCCUCCCGGGGAUGAAGGAGGGGGGGG
rnacentral:lncRNA from 1 species